rnacentral:rRNA from 1 species
AGCGAACGCUGGCGGCAGGCCUAACACAUGCAAGUCGAACGGAUCCUUCGGGAUUAGUGGCGGACGGGGGAGUAACACGUGGGAACGUGACCUUUGGUUCGGCACAACUCAGGGAAACGUGAGCUAAUGCCGGAUGUGCCCUUCGGGGGAAAGAUUUAUCGCCAUUGGAGCGGCACGCGUUGGAUUAGCUCGUUGGUGAGGUAACGGGCUACCAAGGCAACCAUGAGUAGCUGGCCAGGGUGGGUGAUCGGCCACACGGGAACUGAGACACGGCCCAGACUCCUACGGGAGGCAGCAGUAGGGAAUCUUCCGCAAUGGGCGAAAGCCUGACGGAGCAACGCCGCGUGAGUGAUGAAGGUCUUCGGAUCGUAAAACGCUGAUAUUAGGGAAGAACAAAUGUGUAAGUAACUGUGCACAUCUUGACGGUACCGGAUCAGAAAGCCACGGCUAACUACGUG